GUUGGAGUGGCAGUUGGUCCGAAUUUCUCCCAAAGCCCGCGGAGGAGCGGCGCGCCGCGAUUCACCAGCCUGGUCCCUUCUGCGGAGAGCGAUGCCGCUUCCCGACACCAUGUUCUGCGCUCAGCAGAUCCACAUUCCCCCGGAGCUGCCGGACAUCCUGAAGCAAUUCACGAAGGCUGCCAUCCGCACCCAGCCGGCCGACGUGCUGCAGUGGUCCGCGAGCUAUUUUUCAGCUCUGUCGAGAGGAGAUCCACUUCCUGUAAAGGACAGAAUGGAAAUGCCCACAGCAACCCAGAAAACAGACACAGGCCUGACUCAAGGACUCCUGAAAGUUUUGCACAAGCAGUGUCACCACAAGCGGUAUGUGGAAUUAACAGAUCUUGAGCAGAAGUGGAAGAACUUGUGCCUGCCGAAGGAAAAAUUCAAAGCGCUCUUACAACUGGAUCCUUGUGAAAACAAAAUCAAGUGGAUAAACUUUUUAGCACUUGGAUGCAGCAUGCUUGGUGGGUCCUUGAACACUGCGCUGAAGCACCUGUGCGAGAUCCUCACGGACGAUCCGGAGGGCGGGCCCGCUCGCAUCCCCUUCAAGACGUUUUCCUACGUUUACCGCUACUUGGCCAGAUUAGACUCAGAUGUGUCUCCCUUGGAGACGGAAUCCUACCUUGCCUCUCUAAAGGAAAAUAUGUAAGUAUGCACCCUCUCUAGGAUUCAGGUAUGUUGACCAUGGGAGAAUUUCCUGUUUCACUUCCCUCUUGUAGGGAAAAAAUCAGUUUUUCCUUUGCUCUCUCACCACA
rnacentral:sRNA from 1 species